rnacentral:lncRNA from 10 species
GAGAAAUGAUGUCACACAGCUUUAGUUAUAGUUUAGUUUGCACACAUAACCUGUGGGGGUGAAGCAUGACAUUCUUGUGUCAUCCCAAACAGAGCACUCCUGCUAUCCCCAGAGCCUUGUCUGCCAUCUGCCCCUUUGCUCAAGCCUAAACCCCUGUGUACUCCCAGUACUUUUUCUGUUAUCCUUCACCAUCCACUCCCAGUAGUCCCUAGACUGAUCCCUCUGAUGUUAUUUUCUGGAUCUAUUAGUUACAUUGAAUCAUAUGAAAUUGCUGAUGUGUGGCAGUUUGGGACCUAUAAAUCAGUGAUUUCCCAUGGUGUAAUGGAACCAUUCCUGUCUCACAGGCACAGCACAGCCGCCUCACACGCCCAGCAGCUUGUUGGCUGACCACCUGCCUCCGCUCUCCUCCUUCAGGCCAUUCUCCCGUAACAUCCAGCUCUGUUACACUUUUUAACAUGGAGGUCAGAUUCUGGCACUUGCUCGAGACCCUUCCAAGUUGAGUGUUUACAAUAUGAUCCAUUGGCACAUAGGAUGAAAAUACUGGCACUUCAGUGUAUUUUUAGAGAGAGAUUCACCUCACUUUGUUGUUGGUGGGGGCGUGUUUAUUUUGUAAUGUAUAUGUUGCUGGUACAGUAUGUGAUUGGUGUGCUGGACAUAUUACAAAAAGUUUAUACCAUAGCCACAAGGGCAUUUAUGUUUUAACUAAAUACCCAGUUAUUUGGUGAAGCCAAAUUCCACAGGUCUUAGAUGCCUCUUUUAUCUGCACCUUACACCUUGUGAUUGUCUCUGAAAUACAUUUGGGUCUGUCAGGCUGUUUCAUCACCUGUCUCUUCCCCAGGAUUGUAAACUCUGAGACAAGAUACUGUCUUUCUUGGACAUCUAGGACUUAAGUACCUGUGUCGGAGAACUACAAAUUAGUAAAGAAAAAUAUUAAGACAUCCUUAACUAAUGGAUAAAGGACAGCAGUUCACAGGAUAUGAACUAAGGAAAUGUGUGAUCAUACUAAUAAAAUUUUCAAUUAAAUAUUAAAUCUAACUCUUGACAAUUUUAUUCUAAUAGGCAAUCCACCUCGAAGAUCCAAGUCUGCACCUCCUCGUGAUUUAGGCAAUUUGGAUAAGGGACAAGUAAAUCUCUGUUUUUAUAUAUUCUUCAAACAUACAUUACUUAGGCUUGAAAUCAAUUUGUUAAUAGACUUAACGUUUCUAAACCACGUGUAAAAAAGAGUUUUUACUUAACAUUAUAAAUGUUAUAUUUUGUAAACACUAGUCCUAGAACCCUAUAUCAGAAUCUGGCUUUGGAAGUAAGAGUAGGUUUUAGCUGCUUGAAAUGUGUUGUGCUUACAGGCUGCCUCUCCCAGGGAGCCACUUGAACCACUGAACUUCCCAGAUCCUGAAUAUAAAGAGGAGGAGGAAGACCAAGACAUACAGGGAGAAAUCAGUCAUCCUGAUGGAAAGGUGGAAAAGGUUUAUAAGAAUGGGUGCCGUGUUAUACUGUUUCCCAAUGGAACUCGAAAGGAAGUGAGUGCAGAUGGGAAGACCAUCACUGUCACUUUCUUUAAUGGUGACGUGAAGCAGGUCAUGCCAGACCAAAGAGUGAUCUACUACUAUGCAGCUGCCCAGACCACUCACACGACAUACCCGGAGGGACUGGAAGUCUUACAUUUCUCAAGUGGACAAAU